rnacentral:rRNA from 1 species
UACAGAGGUCUCAAGCGUUGUUCGGAUUCAUUGGGCGUAAAGGGUGCGUAGGUGGCGCGCUAAGUCAGGUGUGAAAUCUCGGGGCUUAACUCCGAAACUGCAUUUGAUACUGGCGUGCUUGAGGACUGGAGAGGAGACUGGAAUUCAUGGUGUAGCAGUGAAAUGCGUAGAUCUCGAGAGGAACACCAGUGGCGAAGGCGGGUCUCUGGACAACACCUGACGCUGAGGCACGAAAGCCAGGGGAGCAAACGGG